rnacentral:rRNA from 1 species
CAAUAGCGUAUAUUAAAGUUGUUGCAGUUAAAAAGCUCGUAGUUGAAUUUUUGGGCGAAGCAUUGUCAGUCCGCCGAGAUGGUGAGUACGGGCAUGCUCGUUCAUUCCUGUUGGAAACUCGGCAAUGCUCUUAAUUGAGUGUUGUCUCAGGGUCUUGGCAACAAGGUUCUGUUGGCAUGAUAGUUUCGGCUGUUGUGACAGAGUUCCAGCUCGUUUACUGUGAAUAAAUUAGAGUGUUCAAAGCAGGCUUAGGCUUGAAUACGUUAGCAUGGGAUAAUGGAAUAGGACUUUGGUCUUAUUUUGUUGGUUUCUAGGACUAAAGUAAUGAUUAAUAGGGAUAGUUGGGGGCAUUAAUAUUUAAUUGUCAGAGGUGAAAUUCUUGGAUUUAUGAAAGAUUAACUUCAGCGAAAGCAUUUGUCAAGGAUGUUUUCAUUAA